GAUGAACGCUGGCGGCGUGCUUAACACAUGCAAGUCGAACGGUGAAGCAGAGCUUGCUCUGUGGAUCAGUGGCGAACGGGUGAGUAACACGUGAGCAACCUGCCCCUGACUCUGGGAUAAGCGCUGGAAACGGCGUCUAAUACUGGAUAUGAGCUGCGACCGCAUGGUCAGCAGUUGGAAAGAUUUUUCGGUCUGGGAUGGGCUCACGGCCUAUCAGCUUGUUGGUGAGGUAAUGGCUCACCAAGGCGUCGACGGGUAGCCGGCCUGAGAGGGUGACCGGCCACACUGGGACUGAGACACGGCCCAGACUCCUACGGGAGGCAGCAGUGGGGAAUAUUGCACAAUGGGCGAAAGCCUGAUGCAGCAACGCCGCGUGAGGGAUGACGGCCUUCGGGUUGUAAACCUCUGUUAGCAGGGAAGAAGCGAAAGUGACGGUACCUGCAGAAAAAGCGCCGGCUAACUACGUG
rnacentral:rRNA from 1 species